UAAUAUAAUAUCCUUUCUGCUAAAAGAAAGGGCCUCUAACAUUGGAUUUAUCAGGUAGUUCAGAGACGUCGUGCUCCGCACCUGUGCUGCUGUGUGUUCAGCGAGGCUUCAUUUCCACCCACCUGAAAGCAGCUCGAGAGUUCAUGUAACCUGUCCUGAGCUUCAUGAGAUCAGCUUAAACUGAUACUGCUGCUUUAUUAAAGAAAGUGUGAUCCAGA